rnacentral:ncRNA from 1 species
ACGUCACGAUUAAUGAGGCGUUCAUCCUGACUGAGAAUCAGGCACUGAACGGGGAGUAUUCCAUCGCCGUGCUGAGCACGUAGCUAACUCCUGCAAAAACUCAACACAACCCGCGCCCUGCUACACAUUAUCUGACG